rnacentral:rRNA from 1 species
UACGUAGGGUGCAAGCGUUUGUCCGGAAUUAUUGGGCGUAAAGAGCUCGUAGGCGGUUUGUUGCGUCGGCUGUGAAAUCCCGAGGCUCAACCUCGGGUCUGCAGUCGAUACGAGCAAACUAGAGUGUUGCAGGGGAGACUGGAAUUCCUGGUGUAGCGGUGAAAUGCGCAGAUAUCAGGAGGAACACCGGUGGCGAAGGCGGGUCUCUGGGGCAACAACUGACGCUGGAGGAGCGAAAGCGUCGGGGAGCAAACAGG